rfam:Danio rerio chromosome 4, GRCz11 reference primary assembly.
GCAUUGGUGGUUCAGUGGUAGAACUCUCGGCUGCCAUGCGGGAGUUCCAGGUGCGACUCCCGGCCAAUGCA